GCAACCUCGGCUACAUCAGUCAAGUCCCUGACUAGGCCACCAGCAGCCCAAACUGAACCAUCAUCAUCUGGACCCCAUUCCUCAGAGGGAACUCCAGCAGCCCCAGUUUCUUUAGAAAAAGAUAACAUUGAAGAAGGCUGUUCAGCUCCCAGUGCAGUGCUGCGACGAAAGAGGAAAGGGACAAAAAUUGAAGCUGGUGGAGUGGGAGCCGUGCAAACUCUGUGGAAAGGACUGGCCUUUGGAGUGGGUGCCGGAGAAAGACACCACUUGCUAAUGUUGCCAAAGUGCAGAUGGGACUGCAGUGCCCUUGUGUUUGUCAUGUUGUUUUGUUAUUUGUUUGUUCUGCAGUGUUGCCAAUUAUUGCCACUUGAAGCAAUGAGUGUUCAUUUGCAGUACUUUCUUUAAUAAAUACAUACCAAAUUAA